rnacentral:rRNA from 1 species
UACGUAGGGGGCAAGCGUUGUCCGGAAUCAUUGGGCGUAAAGAGCGUGUAGGCGGCCCGAUAAGUCCGCUGUGAAAAGUCCAGGGCUCAACCCUGGAACUGCCUUUGAUACUGGGAGCCUGGAGUUCGGGAGAGGUGAGUGGAAUUCCGAGUGUAGAGGUGAAAAUUCGUAGAUAUUCGGAGGAACACCAGAAGCGAAGGCGGCUCACUGGCCCGAUACUGACGCUGAGGCGCGAAAAGCGUGGGGGAGCAAACAGG